UACGUAGGGUGCGAGCGUUAAUCGGAAUUACUGGGCGUAAAGCGUGCGCAGGCGGUUCGUUGUGUCCGAUGUGAAAGCCCCGGGCUUAACCUGGGAAUGGCAUUGGAAACUGGCGAGCUUGAGUGCGGCAGAGGGGGGUGGAAUUCCGCGUGUAGCAGUGAAAUGCGUAGAGAUGCGGAGGAACACCGAUGGCGAAGGCAGCACCCUGGGUCGACACUGACGCUCAGGCACGAAAGCGUGGGGAGCAAACAGG
rnacentral:rRNA from 1 species